rnacentral:rRNA from 1 species
GAUUUAUUGGGUUUAAAGGGAGCGUAGGCCGGAGAUUAAGCGUGUUGUGAAAUGUAGACGCUCAACGUCUGCACUGCAGCGCGAACUGGUUUCCUUGAGUACGCACAAAGUGGGCGGAAUUCGUGGUGUAGCGGUGAAAUGCUUAGAUAUCACGAAGAACUCCGAUUGCGAAGGCAGCUCACUGGAGCGCAACUGACGCUGAAGCUCGAAAGUGCGGGUAUCGAACAGGAUUAGAUACCCUGGUAGUCCGCACGGUAAACGAUGGAUGCCCGCUGUUGGUCUGAAUAGGUCAGCGGCCAAGCGAAAGCAUUAAGCAUCCCACCUGGGGAGUACGCCGGCAACGGUGCAACUCAA